rnacentral:lncRNA from 1 species
CUGGAGUUCCUGCAUCUGGGUCAGAAAUCAUAUCCAGGAGAGAUUUAUCCAGAGUAGAUUUGCUCAUUAUUUUUUCCUCGUAUUCAAAAUACACAUCCAGCUUUCUAGUCUUUAUAUGCUCCAAAACAGCUGUUGCAACAUUUGUAUGAAGAUCAAUGAGCCUCUUCUUUUCCAGAAGUUCUGGAAGAGAGCUAACAGCUGAAGUAAGCUUAGCUGUAUUGUCAGAAAGCAUGCUUAUUGCUCCUUCAUCCUCCCCUUCUAUGCCCAUUAUACUUUUUAGCCUUUUGACUUCAUCUUCUU